AUGUUCUUGUGCCCUGUUUCUAGGGUGGUGUGGAGAACCGUAGGUUCCGUGCUUGGAACUGAUUGUUGCCCUAAUUCUAUCAGGCAAUAUUAUGUGUGGAUGUAUAGUUUCUUACCUGGGCUGGACAAAAUAUACACCGUUGGCUUGGCUGCUAUAUGUUGGGCCAUUUGGCUAGCCAGGAACCGAGCCACUUUCGAACUCAAAUGGAUUAAGUCUCCAUUUGAAAUUGUAUUUACAGCUUGUGCCUUUUUGAUGUACUGGGCAGGUCUCCAGAAACCAGAGAUAGGGGAGAUGGUGAAAAAAGGAGCGGAGAUGCUGAAGGAGAACACAACACAGAUGAUGCUACUUUGCGGUCCCCCGAUCCCAACUAGGGACGGACGUGAUGGGAACUGA
rnacentral:rRNA from 1 species